GAUGAAGAACGUAGCGAAAUGCGAUAAGUAAUGUGAAUUGCAGAAUCCAGUGAAUCAUCGAAUCUUUGAACGCACAUUGCGCCCGCCAGCAUUCUGGCGGGCAUGCCUGUUCGAGCGUCAUUUCAACCCUCGACCUCCCUUUGGGGAAGUCGGCGUUGGGGACCGGCAGCACACCGCCGGCCCUGAAAUGGAGUGGCGGCCCGUCCGCGGCGACCUCUGCGUAGUAAUCCAACUCGCACCGGAACCCCGACGCGGCCACGCCGUAAAACACCCAACUUCUGAACGUUGACCUCGAAUCAGGUAGGACUACCCGCUGAACUCAAGCAUAUCUAAGCGGAGGA
rnacentral:misc_RNA from 1 species